AAGGCAGAGGGAAGGUCAUUCUGGGCAGGUCUCAUCCAUCUCUCUGAAAAGAGGCUACUCCACAGGGCUGUUUCCCCUUCAGCAUCAGGCCAUGGAGCGGAGCAUCACCAUCCCCACCAGCCUUCCAGUAGAGGCUCCAUGCCCCAAAAACGAGGACCCCACCUGUGGAGAUGAGGAGCUGGAUGAGGAGACCAUG